UACUAGCAUGGUGGUGGAAAAUGGUGUUUCAUAAAGAAAGUAUGCAUAUUUUCCCAGUUUUUCCCUUCUUCUCGCCAUUACAUUGAGUAAAGGCAAUUAACUCCUUUGCAGCCUGAAUGGAGAAGGUUUUGUGUACGAAACGGUUCACGGAGGAUACCAGUGUAUAGCCGGCUGCAUGCAUUAGCUUUGUACGAAGUAAACCAGCAUGAAUGCAGUGGGGAAAAGUUCCCACAUCCCACUAAAAUUGUGUUCAAUUGAGACCCAACAUCAUGAAAUCUAGCUUAAGAAACCAAAGAUUUCAAGGAACCAAUGAACACUGAAUUCACAUACAUUUGAGAGUCUGUGAUACUUAAGGCAGUGUGAUUUGGCAGUGCUUCGGUUGUUUUGACAGAGUGACGCAGCACUUACCCCAAAGGCAGGGUUGACCGACCCCUGAUCGCUCAAUCCUAUCUCAACUUUCGGGUCCUGGGUAAGAUGCAUGCUGGUGCGUAGGCACAGAGACAGUGGUGGCUGGACGCUGAGGCUCACAGGGACCCCUCAAACUUCUCCACACGCUACACACUCACUGGGAAAACUCUGAGAAACACUGGACCUUAGGAAAGCAUGAAGAGUCCCGUCAUGUUGUCAAGGGAACCACAGUUGAAUCACUAGCAAAACGUUGUUGUAUAAUCCCUCCAAACUAUUUGUUGUUUUAGCCCCUGACCUUUUGUCAUGUGUCUAUUGUGAUGUUGUAAUGGGUAAUAUUUGAUAUAUAUGCACAUUAUAUACACCUCACGUGCCUCGUAAUAAGACUAUUCAAUGAAUAUGUUAAAAAGUCUGACUCCAUCAGAUGAUCUAGCAUUAUGCAAGAGACUGUAGUUCAGUUACAGUAAUAAGCCAUCAAGAAAUGUCUGAGAAUGGAAUUCUAAAUACAAGUUUAUUAAAUUAAUUUGUAAAUUGAAUGAUUACAUUUACAAGGAAUAAAGCUUAAGUUACAAAGCAUUAACAAGCAUUACUAAGCAUUAUUCUAAGCAUGACCAGUGGGAGAGAGACAAAGAAACCAUGGCUUGAGCCAUGGCCCAUAGCUCAAGGGAGAGGGAGAAAGAAAGAAAAAAAGACUAUCUCACCACAGCAGUUCAGGAACAAAAAAAGAGAAAGAUACAAUGAAUCUGAGACCCCUUUAUAACAUCGGAGUUGUUGACCAAUAGCAUUACUGUAAAGUUAACCUCCAAUCAGAUAUGAGACAUACAGACCUGUAAAGAAAACAUAACCUCUGCUACCCAGAGGUGUUACAAUGGGGGCUGGUGAGAUCAACACUGAGGAAUCCUUGCACACAGUUGAUAAGAGCCACUUCGGGGGCUGGGCUGUGUGAUAUAUCUGCAGACCAAACCCCUUCCUUUAAUUCAUUGAUGUGAGAUGACGAUACACUAUACACAGGCACAUGCUAACACAUGCCGGCGAGCACACACACACAUGCACACAACACAAGCAGGAGCACACACACAGUCUUGUACAACUAUCUUUGUGGGGACACACAAUUCAGUCCCAUAUAAAAACCUAUUUUUCCUAACCCUUAACCCGUACCCUGAACCUAAACCGUACCCUAAACUUAACUCUAACCGGAAAACAUUAACCCUAACCCUAAACCUAACCCUAGCUCCUUAACCUAACCCUAAAACUAACCCUAGCUCCUAACCCUAAUUCUAACCCAACCCUAAUUCUAACCCUAACACCAAUUCUAACCCUAACACUAAUUCUAACCCUAACACUAAUUCUAACCCUAACGCCAAUUCUAUCCCGAACACUAAUUCUAACCCUAACACUAAUUCUAACUCAACCCUAAUUCUAACCCUAACCCUAAUUCUAACCCAACCCUAAUUCUAACCCUAACACCAAUUCUAACCCUAACACUAAUUCUAACCCUAAACCCACUAGAAAUAGUAUUUGAUCUUGUCCCCAGUUGGUCACAUUUGUGAUUGUUUAUUAUUCUAUAGUUACACACAAUCACACACACUAUACUGUACACACAUUGAAAUAACAUUGAACUAUUUGCAUGGACUCUCUCCACACACACACACACACACACACACACACACACACACACACACACACACACACACACACACACACACACACACACACACAGACACAGACACAGACACAGACACAGACACAGACACAGACACACACCACACACACAAACCACACAUCACACACACACACCACUCACACACACACCACACAAUCAUCAUUGCUCUUACUAUGUAUUUUAAGCUGUUCAACCAAGUCACACACACACACACACGAUAACAUACGCACUAUACAUACACAUGGAUUUAGUACUGUAGAUAAAUGGUAGUGGUGGAGUAGGGGCCUGAGGGAACACAGUGUGUUGUGAAAUCUGUGAUGUAUUGUAAUGUUUUAACAUUGUAUAAACUGCCUUAGUUUUGCUGGACCCCAGGAAGAGUAGGUGCUGCUUUGGCAGCUAAUGGGGAUCCAUAAUAAAUACAAAUACAAAUACUAUCAAGUCACCAACUUGAUAGUGUCACUAACCAAGCCACGACCGCCACCAGCCUCUGGAAUGCCCUCCCAGACCACCUGAAGGCACCACAGACUCUGGGCUCCUUUUCAACGGGCCUAACGACUUUUCAAUUUAGGAAGGCUUUCUGUUGAUAUCUGUGCUCCUUGGUGUCCUCGUCCCUUGUAGCGUCAGCUGGGCUCUUUGCGUCAGUUGCCGUGUGCGUCAGUUGCCGUGUCUAGUUGCGUCCAUUUAUUUUCAAUUGGGUUUUUAUUUUUUAUUUUAUGCACUUUGAGAUUAUUCGGUAUAAUAAAAAGCGCUUUACAAAUGUAACACAUGUUUUUUUAUUACUAUCCACUUUAGCAUUUUUGUAGUAUUUACUGUAUAUUCGUAUUGUGUAUACAUUUCCAACAUACAUAUUUGUUCCUACUUUCUAUUACAGUUUUAAAAAGUUUAUUACACUGUUUAGGAGAGCUUGCAAGUAAGCAUUUCACUGUACUGUUUACAUUUACAUUUUUUACAUUUUAGUCAUUUAGCAGACGCUCUUAUCCAGAGCGACUUACAGUAGAGUGCAUACAUUUUAUUACAUUUUUGUAUCCUGUGCAUGUGACGAACAAACUUUGAUUUCCUAAUAAAAUGAUGCAUAUGGCUAAAAUGACAGUAA